ensembl:rRNA 5S_rRNA 5S ribosomal RNA
UGCCACAGCCAUGUCACCCUGCAACCCAAGACCGGUUACUCACUGAAGCUAAGCAGGGCUGAGCCUGGUCAAUUCUUGGAUGGGAGACCACUAAGGAACAAUUGGUUGCUGUUGGAA